AGCAGGAGGACGGGAGAUAAAGACUGAGAAGAGGGGACUAAUAAGAUGACCCAUAGGAGAGGCGUCUCCUUGAACGUCAAAGGUCCUCUUUGCUCCGUGUUGUUCUAUUUCUCUUUUUCAGUGGCGGUACUGGGGAUUGAACCCAGGACCUCGGGCAUGCUAAGCACACACUCUACCACUAAGCUAUACCCUCCUCUCAUAUGAUACUUUUUAAAUUAAAAUCACUUAAUAAUGUAGGUGGGUGGAGUUCAGGAAUCCAUUAAGGCAGUGAAACUCUUCCAUGUGACAACGUUGGCAGAUACGAGACAUUUUGUGUGUCUUUAUGAAAAGCCACAGAAGGCACAACCCAAACAGUGAACCCUAAUGCAAACUGAAGACUUUAGUUCAUAACAGUGCAUCCGUAUUGGCUCUCCAAUGGUUAUCUGUAAACCCAACACUGUUCUAAAAAAUAAAAUCUACUCAUGAGGGGGGAGAAAAAUCAAUAGCGGUACAAAUUUAAAAAUCCUUGUCUGAAAGGAAGCAACUUAAGAGGAAGAAAUGGCCAAAGAACAGAUGGAACACAUUGAAACACACACACACACACACACGCAAGCAAAAACCAAGGGCAAUACAGUUGAUUUAAAGCUAACCAUAUGGAUAACUGUGUUGAACACAAGUGCUCUAACACACCAACUAAAAUUCAGACAUGGUCAGACUGUAUUUAAAAAAACAAAAAGCAAGA